CCAGACUGUAACUAAAUCUAGACAAAUAUGACCACCUACAAACACAAAGAUAAAGCGCCGCGCUUACAGCAGCAGUAGCUUAGUAUCCAACAGCUCAAAAUAAAUAGUAAAAACAAAGAGAACAUUACCUGCGCUCUGGCCUAAAUCCCUAUGUAAAUUUAAACAAAAUGGAGGCUCUUUAGUUUUAUUAUGUGUUAUAGCCCUAUUUAGGGUUAAUAGGUAUGUAGGGGUUUAUAAAACACCCCUUCAUGUCUCAUUAGAGACGUUUUUGAUACCAGCAAAGUUUAUUGUAUGUGUAGAAGCCCUAUAAAGGGUUAAAUGUGAAAGGGUUUAUAAAAUACCCCUUCCUGUCUCACUGGAGAUUCUUGGCUGAUAUCAGCAAAUCUAAUGGCUAGAGUGGG